AACGAACGCUGGCGGCAGGCCUAACACAUGCAAGUCGAACGCCGUAGCAAUACGGAGUGGCAGACGGGUGAGUAACGCGUGGGAACAUACCCCUCGGUUCGGAAUAACUCAGGGAAACUUGAGCUAAUACCGGAUACGUCCGAGGUUUUAAUCGACCUUGGAGAAAGAUUUAUCGCCGGAGGAUUGGCCCGCGUCUGAUUAGCUUGUUGGUGAGGUAAUGGCUCACCAAGGCGACGAUCAGCAGCUGGUCUGAGAGGAUGAUCAGCCACAUUGGGACUGAGACACGGCCCAAACUCCGUACGGGAGGCAGCAGGUGGGGAAUAUUGGACAAUGGGCGAAAGCCUGAUCCAGCCAUGCCGCGUGAGUGAUGAAGGCCUUAGGGUUGUAAAGCUCUUUCAGCUCCGACGAAGCGAGA
rnacentral:rRNA from 1 species